UUUGUAUAGAAGUAAGAGAAAGGUUACAGAGCAACCAUGGCUUUCUAUUUCUCAGCGAGAAUUAUGUUAGCAACCCUAAUGAUCGUCAUCUUCACCCAGCAGUUGCACCUGGUUUCAACUCAUGCCGCCGCAGAUGAAAAGAUCAGGAGCAUGCAGAGCACUCUUCGCAUUACUCACAGUCCUGAAAUUGAUCGUUUGUAUUCGAGGGCAGCAUCACGACGCCUAGCGCAAAAUACAAAAGUGGUACCGCGGCCUUCUCCUCCACCGCCGGCUCACAGGCCUCCCACUUACCCAUGACAUGACUGAAAGAAAAUUGAACACCUCACGAGUGAAUAUAAAUGUAACCACAUAUAUAUGUAUUUGCUUUUAGGACUCCAAGAAGAUUGUAUUCUGAAUUUUUGUUGUAUUCUUCUGAAGCUCAUGCAUCAGCUAUAUAUUGAGGCUAUUCACAACCUCCUUUCCGUCAUUUCA